UACGUAGGGUGCGAGCGUUAAUCGGAAUUACUUGGGCGUAAAGCGAGUGCAGACGGUUGUUUAAGCCAGAUGUGAAAUCCCCGAGCUUAACUUGGGACGUGCAUUUGGAACUGGAUAACUAGAGUGUGUCAGAGGGAGGUAGAAUUCCACAUGUAGCGGUGGAAUGCGUAGAGAUGUGGAGGAAUACCGAUCGGCGAAGGCAGCCUCCUGGGAUAACACUGACGUUGAGGCUCGAAACGCGUGGGGAGCAAACUAUACAUUCAGAGACCCUGGUAGUC
rnacentral:rRNA from 1 species